ACGUAGGACACAAGCGUUAUCCGGAGUUACUGGGCGUAAAGGGCGUGUAGGCGGAUAUGUAAGUCUACUCUGAAAGCUUCUGGCUAAACUGGAAGAGGCGAGUGGAGACUGCAUGUCUAGAGUGAGGAAGAGGAAAGUGGAAUUCCGCGUGUAGUGGUGAAAUGCGUAGAGAUGCGGAGGAACACCAGUGGCGAAAGCGGCUUUCUGGUCCUUAACUGACGCUGAGGCGCGAAAGCAUGGGGAGCGAACGGGAUUAGAAACCCCGGUAGUCCAUGCCGUAAACGAUGUUCACUAAACGUUCGUUUCCCGCGAGGGAAGCGGGUGUGGAAGCUAACGCAGUAAGUGAACCGCCUGGGGAGUACGGUCGCAAGGCUA
rnacentral:rRNA from 1 species